ensembl:processed_transcript F730043M19Rik RIKEN cDNA F730043M19 gene
GGGAGAGCGCGGAGUCGGGCAGGCUGAGAGCAGAGCCUGAGUGCGCCGCGGGUUCAGCCGGGCAGGGUCGCCUCGCGCCAGGAUGCUGCGCCCCGCCGCCCUGUCCAGCCAGCAACCCUGGCGCGACCCCGGGAAGAAGCACAGGUUCUUUCGUCCAGUCGCCACUGGAGGACCGAAAGUUUUGCUCGCUGCAAGUCCCUUCCUCCCAGAGUCCCAGUCACCCACCGUGCGACGUCCUAGAAGGAUCCCGGAGGCUUAGUGGGAACGAAAUCGGCUGUUUUGCACCCCUCCAUCCUUAGCUCUCAGGGUAGAGCAGGGACUCUAGAGAGUACACCUCCCAGCUACCAUCCACUUCACCCUGUCUCCUCUCUCGGUGAGCCUUGGAAUCCGGUCUCUUCGCAGAUGCCUUCAGGAGGCAGAAGCAAAGGGGAAAUGGACAUAACUCCGAGAAACCGAGUGAAUGUCCAGCCUCAGCAACAGCUUUGCCAGCGUGGGCUUCUUUGAUCACACCCUACCACAACUAGGAGACCUAAACCUUGCUCACUGACAGCAUUUGAAGAUGCAAAUACUGCUAUGGAUUGGAAGGUGCCUGAGGAAUGAAAGGGGACAUAGCCAUUAUGAACCACCUCGUGAGAUUUUAGGGAAGAAAGACCAUAGUGAUUGCAUCUAUUAAGAAGUCCUUACUGACCUGCAUGGUGAGGCUUGUGUGAAAUUUCAGCAUGCGGGAGAUUGAGACAGAAGGAUCACAAGUUCAAGGCCACCCUAGGCUAUGUAUCAAGAGCUUGUUUUGAACAAAGGAAAAAGAAAAAAGAAACGGCAGUACAUAAUUUCUCGUAAGUCCAUGGUAAUUUGUUACAGUAGCCCCAGGGCUCUCCUUGGAGAUGAAGUAGAAGCCUGGGUCUAAAGAUACUUUGGGCAAUAACUCUGCCUGUCCGUCCAAUAGGACACAACAAACACUGUGCUUCUGAGGUGCCUGCCGCACCUUCUCUGUGGGUCUGCGUUUUGCCUCGCUGCUGGGGUGUCAUGACACCCCUCAGGGAAGUGAAACACAGAGGUGCUUGGCUACUUUCCUUCCUUACUACCACCAGGUGCUGUGUUUGCGGGACACACUGAAACGAGACGCUGCUCGUGGAGCUUCCGUGUCUGAGAUCUGAUCACGCUGAGGAAGACCCUGGCCUAAACUCUCCUGAGACAACAGUACCAAAGAAUGAUUAACCCUCCUGCGGUCGCGACUAGUCUAGUCUGUUCACUUAAAAGAAGCCGAACAGAAAACUGCCUGCCACCCUUAGCCUCACACCGACCAUGAACUAGAUAGAAUACGAUAGCCCCAAUUUGUGUUUGUAAACUCGUGGGGCUGAUAAGAAAGAGCACAGCCUUGGAGCUAGAUGCCUUCUGGUUUGAAUCCCAAGCUCGAGUCUACUAAGUAUACACUUUUUCUCAGAAUCUGUGUCUGAUUCCUUAUAAAUAAGGAUAAUGUCUCUUUCACCAGGCUGCUGAGAUGCACCUGCCAUGUAUGGUGAGUUCAAUAAAUGUUUCUUUCUUUUCUGACUUAGGUUAAAAAUAGG